GAUUGACUGCGUGUGUAUUGUACAUGAAAACACAAAAAUUUUCGAACUAGAUUAUAGUCGUCUACUUUUAAAACGCCAACAAACUGAGCGAACUCAUAAAAAUUUAGAAUUUAGAAAAAUGUUUUCUGUUGCAUUAGUUACCAAGGCGCAUCAAAGCAAACAGCUGCAAUUCAUUUACACACAAUCAAUGAUGCCAGACAAAUUAAUUAAAACGUAACCCAAAACCAAUUGCAGAAUUAUGUUACAAGAAAAAAAUGCAAAAUAAAGCGUAGUACUCACA